rnacentral:rRNA from 1 species
UACGUAGGGACCAAGCGUUGUUCGGAUUUACUGGGCGUAAAGGGCGCGUAGGCGGCAAUUCAAGUCAUCUGUGAAAUCUCCGGGCUUAACCCGGAAAGGUCAGCCGAUACUGCGGGGCUAGAGUGCAGAAGGGGCAACUGGAAUUCUCGGUGUAGCGGUGAAAUGCGUAGAUAUCGGAAGGAACAUCAGUGGCGAAAGCGGCUUCCUGGUCCAGCACCGACGUCAGGCACGAAAGCGUGGGGAGCAAACAG